rnacentral:rRNA from 1 species
UUGAACGCUGGCGGCAGGCCUAACACAUGCAAGUCGAACGGUAACAGGAAGCAGCUUGCUGCUUCGCUGACGAGUGGCGGACGGGUGAGUACUGUCUGGGAAGCUGCCUGAUGGAGGGGGAUAACUACUGGAAACGGUAGCUAAUACCGCAUAAUGUCGCAAGACCAAAGAGGGGGACCUUCGGGCCUCUUGCCAUCGGAUGUGCCCAGAUGGGAUUAGCUUGUUGGUGGGGUAACGGCUCACCAAGGCGACGAUCCCUAGCUGGUCUGAGAGGAUGACCAGCCACACUGGGACUGAGACACGGUCCAGACUCCUACGGGAGGCAGCAGUGGGGAAUAUUGCACAAUGGGCGCAAGCCUGAUGCAGCCAUGCCGCGUGUAUGAAGAAGGCCUUCGGGUUGUAAAGUACUUUCAGCGGGGAGGAAGGGAGUAAAGUUAAUACCUUUGCUCAUUGACGUUACCCGCAGAAGAAGCACCGGCUAACUCCGUG